rnacentral:misc_RNA from 1 species
GGAAAACGGAAAAGAAAUCGUUUUGAUUAGAAACGGAAAUCUAUAUAUUUUUAUUAGUAAACAAUAAUAACAGUAGAAACAACACUUGAGAAAUCUACGAUUUCUCAGUUGCCGAAAAAAAAAAGGGACAUAAGCUUUUGCUUUGGUUAUCUCUUUAUAUACAUAAUAAAAAAGAAACGUCAGCUUCCUUCCUUAGCUCUAACUUCUUCUCAUUUUCCUUUUGUCUCCACUGGAAAUUGAGUAAAAAUAUGAAAAGUAAAAUAAAAUAAACGACAAAUAACGAAGCCCCAAACGACUUCCCAAAAAUCAGAUCUCCUCAAAAUCAGGCAACUUCCGCCGGAGGAAGGUUAAGAUCAAGAGAUAAUCCCUUGUUACAAGGACUAAGAUCAUGGUCAUAAUCAACAACAGAUGAAGAAUCUGAAUCACUCUGAACCCCGCCGUUCAUCAUAGCCGCCGUCCGAUCAAAUCUGCACAUGUUAGAUUUAGUGUGCUUUAUGUUCUUCCCCUGAGCAAAAGCGUCGAAAAAGAACCUUGGGCCAGAAACCGUCGCGAGUGAAACACACGCGCCCCCGGGAUAGCUACCACCAUUGGAGAAAUGGCUGUGGCGAUGAUAGCUGGGAAUGUUGAGAGUGAGGUCUAGAGGUGGUGGAGGAGAAGCAGCGCGUGGAGGCGGGGGAGAGGAAGACUCGACGGUGCUGGUUUGGCUUGGGCUGCGCGCGAUGGUGACAACAGGUGCCGCAGCGGCCGCGUUGUUAAGUUCGGUAACCGACGGAAAAUUAGUCUUGGCCUUGGAGCCGCGGAACUCACGAGCAGCAGCAUCGUAAGCACGCGCAGCCUCUUCAGCAGUGUCGAAAGUGCCAAGCCAGACACGGGUUUUCUUGCCGGGGUCACGGAUCUCGGCCGCGUAACGGCCCCAUGGGCGCUUCCUAACGCCUCUGUAACGGAUCUCCUUGGUAGCGGAGUUGGGUUUGGAGCUGCUAUUCGAUCCGGCUCUUGGAGCCAUCCUUGUUCAAGCUGUUUCAGAUUUUGAAUAAAGAAAGAGGAAAGAGAAGGCGAUGACGGUUGGGUUAAGAAGAGGCAGGAGGCGCGUUGGGUUUUAUAGAGAGGAGGAGAGAGAAAUGUGGGAUUUGAAGGUUAAAGCAACGCUCCUUUUGGGG